GCGCGUUGACGUCUGCGUGAAAGGUGCUUACGUACUCGGCUCCGAGCCUCUCCUCUCUUCUCGUCUCCUCCCCUCCCCUUGCGCAGAAGCAGAAGCAGAAGCAGAGAGCCCCUUCCUCAUCCCAGAAGCAAACCCUAGCCUAGCCUAGCCGCCAUGGCUCCGAGGGAAGCCUUCCUUCAUCCCUCUGCCCAGUGAUACUACCGGACUGCAUCCAUCGGCGCGCCUGUCCAGGGAUUCACGGAUUCACGGGGUCGGCGCCGCAUCCGUGAUGAUGAGGCCGGUCGCCGGAAGCUGGGCCGUUGCAGGGGUAGCCGGCCGGCCGGCGAGGAUGAGAGCGAGCUUCUUCUUUUUUUGGUUUUUGCGGCGGUUUCUGUUUCUCAGAUCUACAAAUCCUUGGCCGCAAAUCGCAUGCAAGAUGCACAUCUGUUUUCUUCUUUUGAUUUGAUUUAUCCAUGCGCAGGCAGAAACAACGGAUCUAGCUUGUGCAGGCGCCAUCUUGCAUGCUCGUUUAUUAAAUCUUGGCCCUCUCAGUUCUGAAUUCCGUUUUUACUCUUGUCAUAUGUAUGGCGACGAUUCUUCUUGUCAUAUGGCUUGCAAUUCGCUGUGCCUUAGAUGUACUACUAGUAAUAUAAUAUUACCGUCUUAUUAGGCAUGUUUCUCGUUGAUUAUGCACUUUUUUCCCCCUUCUUUUCCAACUUUCUCGUUGAUUAGUUUGGAACAUCUUCAUUGCCCAAGCAGAGCAGAUCCCUUGGCUUGUUUGUUGCAGAUCAGGGUGCUUAGACCUGUUUUCUUCUUUUGAUUUGAUUUGAUUUGAUUCAUUCAUGUGGUAUAAUUUGCUCCCACAGAAAAUGAGUUAUAAUUUGCUCUGCUGUUUUCGGGUCAAUAUCCCUAUCAGAUUUGCUGCAAUCUCUGUUUACUUUUACAACAAUCUCGGCGGUCUCAUCUCAUCUCAUCUCAUCUCAUCUCAUCUCAUCUCAUCUCAUCUCAUCUCAUCUCAUUGUAAGUAUCCCACCCACCCACUCUGAACCUGUUUGGUUAAGCUUUACUCCAUUUUAGUUGAACAUUUCUGCAGAUUGCUUCUAAUAAUUUGUUUCCCUGAAUAUUGCUUGGCGUCUUUGGAGUCAUGGAGGUCUUUGGAGUCAAGGAUGGCACGGCAAGGACCUACUUUGACUGAUGAUGUUUAUCAGCAACCCAGUUAAUAAUACGAGUUGAUGUUGAAUGUAGUGCCCGUAUGUGAUGUGAAGAAAUUUGUGCUCCAUGAAGAUGUGUGGAUGUGCAAGCUCUUGUACUGUCUGUCCGACUUUCAUGCCGAAUUCAGCAAGUGGUGUUUUAUUAUUGCAGCUCAUGCCUAAUCUAUUUCUAGUUGCCUUGCUCAUGUUUCUAUAUGAAUAUGACAGCACGCAAGAGGGGAGAGAUUGAUCAUGGCCUUUGGAGGACCUUGCAAACCGCGACCGACCACAUAUGUUAAGUAAUCAUCACACCCCCCCUUUUUACUCUGUCGGUAUGAAUUUGGUUCCUGCCUCAUGUACUAUCAUAUUAGGCGCUUCUAGUAAUUUCUUCGUGGGCAUAGUCUCCAUGUUUAGCACAAGUUUCUGCAUUGUUUAAAAGUUGGUCCUCCAAACUAGGACCCAAAUAAUAUGAUCUCACAUAUAAUCACUAGCCUCAGCCGCUAACAAGAGUAUGUAACAUUACAAUAGUUAAACGCAGCCUCUCGGACCCCUUCUCUUGUUGAAGGACAAAAGCUACCGGUGUGGGCGCUUUUUUCAAGGAUCUUGUUGCUUAGAUCAACAACAAGUCAGUUUUUUACGAGUAGAUGCCACCGCAAAUUUUGUUUAGCGCACACAGUUUUUAUUGGACUCUUCACAUCCGAUGGUACUAAAAAGGCAAAAAAAUUCUAAGGGGAGUGAAAAUAUGUGUUCGGUUCAGAUGUGGGUGCUCCGUAGCCUCGUUAGCUAAAAAGAGGUUGAUGAGACCUGCUAAGAUCGGGUUAGUUUUGCACCUUAGCUUCUGUAACUGUAAAAUAAUCUGACAGACGUAGGUGCAUAGAGAAAACUUGAGGAAUAUCCCAUGGAAGCUAGCUCCCAGAAAAACCAGAGCUAUCUCUGUUGUUUCCUAUGGGACUAUUUAACACAGCGGGUUGGAAAUAGAUUUUCAGAAAGCGAUUCCUAUUUGGAUGACAUCUAAGUAACAGUCAACACAAACAUUGUACUCCCUCUGUUUCUAAAUAUAAGCCUUUUUAGAGAUUCCAAUACGGACUACAUAUGGAGCAAAUGAGUGAACCUACACUCUAAAAUAUGCAUAUGUACAUCCAUAUAUAGUCCGUAUUGAAAUCUCUAAAAAAAGCUUAUAUUUAGAAACAGAGAGAUAAAAGAUUAAGCUUAAAGGCACGUUCGUAGAUUUUCACCAAGUUAUGACCCUAGUUAAUGUUCAAAAUACAGGUCUGCGUAAGUGAAGCGGAAUGCCACAGCUAAGAGCAACGGGCUCUGAAGCAUUUUUUUUAAAUGGCCAGGAUUUGGCUGUUUUUGAAUAACAAGCACAGGAGAAUAUGGAACAUAGCAAACGGCUAAUUGAAAUAGCAUAUAAUAUAUGCAGUUGACACCAUAGCAAAUGUACACCAGGUUCACACAGGAAGCAAAAUAAGUAAAUAACAACUGAAAUGCAGUUGACACUGUAAUAAAUACACACCAGGUUCAGGCAGCAAGCAAAAUAACAACAAAAAUGCAGUUGAGAUAAGUGGACACAGCUUAAUAGAGAUCAUGUGGCCAGAUUCUAAAGGAAAUGGUUCCCAAACAGACACUAGUAGUAAUAAGAUAAAUUGCGCGCAAGCAGCCAAGCAUUGCAGUUGAACAAGAGGCAAAUUCUGGCCCAAUUAUGAAAACAACGCCUAAUCUGCCGUUUUAGGACCAAAGCACAUGGCCAUUAUUGCCAGCGCUCUCUUGAACACUGACCCUGGUGAAUGUCACUUGGUGACUAACUUUGCAAGCUAGAAAAUUUCAAGUAGCGUUCAUUUAUAUGAUGCAAUUAUCUAUUCAGUAUAAAUACAUGACUCUAGUGAACAAGUAUAUAUGACUCAUGUCUAUAACCUCUGUCACUAGCAAGAGUGGUCUGUAAAAUGUAGAGGAUGCUACAACUCGUAUAGAAGUUACAAGGUAACCUUUGGACCUGCUGUCAAAGUCCUCUGGAAUGAGAGCUUUUGUCAUAAUCUUCUUUAGCACUUACCGUUGCAAUUAUACUCCUCCCAUUGUGUGGAUGCUAUUUCUAGGCCCCUCUUUGUGUGCUUAGAGCAACAACAUCGGAGGCUUUGUUGUAAAGUAAAUGCCAGUUUAAAUUUAUUUAGCACCUAAAGCUAUUAUUCGACAGAGAGUGGUACUAAGUGAAAUUAAUCUGAUUGAGUUGAAUGGAUGCCAGUUUAAACAUAUUUAGCACAUAUGGCUGUUAUAGGACUUGUAGUGGGACUAAGUAAAAAUACAUCUAAUUGAGAUAAAUGGAUGCCAGUGUAAUAUGGCUGCUCUAGGACUCAUGGUGGGACUAAGUAAAAAUACAUCUAAUUGAGAUCAAUGGAUGCCAGUGUAAUAUGGCUGCUCUAGGACUCAUGGUGGGACCAAGUAAAAUACAUCUAAUUGAGAUAAAAGAAUGCCAGUGUAAAUGUAUUUAGCAGCUAUGGUGUUACUGGAUUCAGAGUGGUACUAUGUGAAAUGAAUGUAAUUGAGAUGGAUGCAUGCCUGUGUAAAUUUAUUUGGCACCUAUAGUUAUUGGACUCAAGAGUGGUACUGUGUGGAAUGAAUGUAAUUGAGGUGAAUGGACGUUGUGUAAAUUUGCUUAGCAACUAUAGCUGUUAUUGGACUCAAAAAGUGUCACCAAGUGCAAUAAAUGUAAUUUUUACAGGAAAAUUGCCUAAGAUGCUGAUGCUUAUGCUUGAAGAGGAAUGAGCAUAUGUAUAAGCGCAAUCAACCAAGAGGGGUUUUAUUUGUCA